rnacentral:rRNA from 1 species
UGGGGAAUAUUGGACAAUGGGCGCAAGCCUGAUCCAGCCAUGCCGCGUGAGUGAUGAAGGCCCUAGGGUUGUAAAGCUCUUUCACCGGUGAAGAUAAUGACGGUAACCGGAGAAGAAGCCCCGGCUAACUUCGUGCCAGCAGCCGCGGUAAUACGAAGGGGGCUAGCGUUGUUCGGAUUUACUGGGCGUAAAGCGCACGUAGGCGGACUUUUAAGUCAGGGGUGAAAUCCCGGGGCUCAACCCCAGAACUGCCUUUGAUACUGGAAGUCUUGAGUAUGGUAGAGGUGAGUGGAAUUCCGAGUGUAGAGGUGAAAUUCGUAGAUAUUCGGAGGAACACCAGUGGCGAAGGCGGCUCACUGGACCAUUACUGACGCUGAGGUGCGAAAGCGUGGGGAGCAAACAGG